UACAAUGAUGAUGAAUAUUUUUAAUACCUAUGUUGGAAUACUGAGAAGAUUCCAUUGAGUCAAGAGUCAGAGGAAAAGGGAAGAUGAUUAUCCUAGGAAGUGAAUUACAGACAUAGAAACAGCACAAAUUCUCUAAGGCAAUAUAUGUAUGAAGAAUGCAGAAGAAAAGUUUAGUGCUGGGAGAGUAAGAUUCCAGCUCCAGCUGGGUUGCAUACCAGAGACUCUGGAAUCUUCUAGGACUUAGAAACUGCUGAGACAUCUGACUUCAUGAGUUGAACAGUCCAGGGCAGGAAAGUAUUGGGAUCUUCUACCAACAACACUCUGUGCUUUGGAAGUUGUAUCCUGAGAAGCUUCCAAGCGAAUGCUUUCCUGCACACUGACAUUGGACUGUUUGAUCUGAACAUGCAUUAAAUUGGACCCACAUUAAAUGCUGAAGAUGGACCAGGCUAGAUAUGACUCAUUUGCUCAGAAUAUCAAAAAUAGUUGGCUAAUUCUCAGGAGGAAUCGUUGGUUCUUUGGAAGCACUAAGAAGAGGGCGGUGUUCCCAAAUUCAGGUUGUGUAUGUUGUAGGAGUGGGAAUCCAGACUGGAGGGAGCAAGAAAUUGUAAAUUUCUAAAAUGUCAAGUGAGUUGUACAGAUUGGUGAAUGAGAAGACACCCUUAAACUAACCAUUCCUGAGACAGGAGUGGAUCUGCAUCUACCCUUGUCAUAGAGAACCAAGAAUUUCACCCAUUGCACAUGUCAGUCAUACAGAGAAGGGUGGUACUUUGUAGCAGACUACUUUUAGAAUAUACUAAUAUGGGGAGGUGUCUUUGUUGUUUUCUCAGAUCAUGUGUUUCAGUUAAAUUUUUGUU